UACUAGCUGUUAGGGCUGAAAGCUGGGACCUAGAGGGAAAUUCAGUCAUGUUUGUCCUGGGUUCUAUCAAGAUAGGUGUGGGAUAGGCUUGAUUUCUAUUACAAAUGAUAUAACAUUACAUAUGUUAAUACUCCUAACACUUCUUGGGACUGUGCCUCAGGGAUCACAAUCUAUAUAAGUUUAGAAGUUCUAAAAGCUAGUCAUGACCUUGGUGUAUAGGUUUUGAUAGUGUCCAGAUUAGAAUCCUAAUGCUAAAGACUUAGUAAGACACACACAAAAAAAAAAGGAGUUGAGAAUUACUUAGGGCUAGGGCUAUCUAGGUGCUGCAAGGGCAACACAAGGACAUCUGCUGUUGCCCUACAAUACAAGGCUUAUAAAAAAUUCAGAACUGCCAUUGACUCAGAUAUAAAAAGAGGAAAGGACUUUUUAUCUGACCUCUAAGAAUACCUAACCUCUCUCUCAGAGGUAGUCCUUCAAAAUAGAAAAAGAUUAGACCUGAUAUUCCUUAAAGAAGGAGUCUGUGUGCUAUACUGAAAGAAAAAUGUUGUUUCUAUACAGACCAUUCAAGAGUAAUUAAAGACUCCAUAAAUAAACUUAGAAAAAGGUUAGACAAAAGACAGACAGAAAAACACAUCAGAGAUGGUUCGAGAGCUAGUUUAGUAGAUCUCCCUGGAUGACUACCCUACUCUCUGCUACAGCUGGGCCAUUAUUAAUAAUUUUCUUGGUUUUAGUUUUUGGCCCCUGCGUGACAAACAGGUUAAUUGCUUUUGUUAAAAAUCGAGUGGGUGCUGUGCGGUUGAUGGUUCUGAGACAACAGUACCAGUCAGUUAGGACAACUGGUGAGACCAAAUAUGAGACUUGAUAUCAAAAUUCUAAGAUUAGAAUUAUUUAGUAGGAGAAGACGGGAAUGAAAAAAAAUUAUACAAAUUCUAGGU
rnacentral:lncRNA from 1 species